AACGAACGCUGGCGGCAGGCUUAACACAUGCAAGUCGAACGCUCCGCAAGGGGAGUGGCGCACGGGUGAGGAACACGUGGGGACCUGCCCUUUAGUUCGGAAUAACGUCGGGAAACUGGCGCUAAUACCGGAUACGCUCUUUGGUCUUGGUCGACCGAAGAGGAAAGAUUUAUCGCUAAAGGAUGAACCCGCGUAAGAUUAGCUAGUUGGUGGGGUAAAGGCCUACCAAGGCGACGAUCUUUAGCUGGUCNGAGAGGACGAUCAGCCACACUGGAACUGAGACACGGUCCAGACUCCUACGGGAGGCAGCAGUGGGGAAUAUUGGACAAUGGGCGAAAGCCUGAUCCAGCCAUGCCGCGUGAGUGAUGAAGGCCCUAGGGUUGUAAAGCUCUUUUGUGCGGGAAGAUAAUGACGGUACCGCAAGAAUAAGCCCCGGCUAACUUCGUGCCAGCCGCCGCCGUAAU
rnacentral:rRNA from 1 species